AAGUAAAUGACAUCAGUUAUCGGAGAAAAGUAACAGUGAAAAUAUUAAGUUUUAGCACGCAAUGUAUAAGAUUUGAGUGCAACUUAAACAUCUAUAUCUCCAUCUGAAAUACAACUAUAUUAGCAUGCAGGAGCAUGCGACCAACAACCUUCAUGCCCAUAGAAUACAUGGAGAAAUUUUAGUCUGAACCUGACUUAGCCAAACCUAAAUAAAUUAUAUGAUAAGUGCAAUACACUUACCGUUUGAUUGGUGAUUGAUUUGGGUCGACCAAACCUGAUCGGAUAAGAAUUUCUGAAAUACAUGUUUGUGGUGACAAAAUUAUCUCUUCUGCCACCACGAAUCUUCCCAUGUACGCUAACAUUCCAGCUCCCUGUCUUGUUUUUCCACGAAUCUCACAACAAUUACACACAAGCAAUUUCUACGUGAUAUAUGGUCCGAAAAGACCUGUUAUCACACUCUAGACAAAGUAUAACUCAACGGCUAAAGCAUGUUUGCAUGUCUUUUAGCAUGAGCAACCGGCAAAAUUUAGGCUUUACAGGUAGGUUUUUCCUGCUUUAUGAGCACUGGUGCUCUUCUCGUGCGCCUCCUGAUAGAGCGAGUCCUAUCAAUUAAAUGGGUAUAAAUAGCUUGCUAUUAUUCUAACACCAUCACACAUCUUCUCCAGUCGCAAGACUAGAUAUCGUUUCGAAGUAUUGGAUAACUUGCUGCAUAAUACUCGUUAUCAUGGAGAAGCAGAACACAGAGCUGUAUAUGGAAAACUGCCAAAUGAUCCGUGAAAAUGAAAGGCUGCGUAAGGCAGCUGAGCAACUCAAUCAGGAGAAUCAGGCCUUACUGGCUGAGUUAAAGCAAAAGCAGAGGCUUUUAGAAGCAAUUGUGCAUCAGAAGCCUGAUGCUCAACUCAAAAUUGGCUCCAGCUCAUCAACAGGAAACAAGAAAUGCAAUAAAAGUCAAUUGCAGAAACACAACUAAAACAAGUUCCAAGACAUUCUGGGACUUCCUUGGCAAUGUUCCGUCAAUUAUGUGAAACUCUAUGAGUUUAUACCCAAUGUUAUAUCAUUUAUGUGAAGCCUAUGGCUCAUAAAUGCUUUUCUAGUCUAUUGCUCAUGUCAAUCUGCAUUCAGUAAUAAAAGUUUCUGCAGUUUUACAGAAACAUAAUAAAAA